rnacentral:rRNA from 1 species
GACGAACGCUGGCGGCGUGCUUAACACAUGCAAGUCGAACGGAAAGGCCCUGCUUUUGUGGGGCGCUCGAGUGGCGAACGGGUGAGUAACACGUGAGUAACCUGCCCUUGACUUUGGGAUAACUUCAGGAAACUGGGGCUAAUACCGGAUAGGAGCUCCUGCUGCAUGGUGGGGGUUGGAAAGUUUCGGCGGUUGGGGAUGGACUCGCGGCUUAUCAGCUUGUCGGUGGGGUAGUGGCUUACCAAGGCUUUGACGGGUAGCCGGCCUGAGAGGGUGACCGGCCACAUUGGGACUGAGAUACGGCCCAGACUCCUACGGGAGGCAGCAGUGGGGAAUAUUGCACAAUGGGCGGAAGCCUGAUGCAGCAACGCCGCGUGCGGGAUGACGGCCUUCGGGUUGUAAACCGCUUUGGCCUGUGACGAAGCGUGAGUGACGGUAAUGGGUAAAGAAGCACCGGCUAACUACGUG